CGAACGAUGAAGCCCUUCGGGGUGGAUUAGUGGCGAACGGGUGAGUAACACGUGGGCAAUCUGCCCUUCACUCUGGGACAAGCCCUGGAAACGGGGUCUAAUACCGGAUACGACCUGCCGAGGCAUCUCGGUGGGUGGAAAGCUCCGGCGGUGAAGGAUGAGCCCGCGGCCUAUCAGCUUGUUGGUGAGGUAGUGGCUCACCAAGGCGACGACGGGUAGCCGGCCUGAGAGGGCGACCGGCCACACUGGGACUGAGACACGGCCCAGACUCCUACGGGAGGCAGCAGUGGGGAAUAUUGCACAAUGGGCGAAAGCCUGAUGCAGCGACGCCGCGUGAGGGAUGACGGCCUUCGGGUUGUAAACCUCUUUCAGCAGGGAAGAAGCGAAAGUGACGGUACCUGCAGAAGAAGCGCCGGCUAACUACGUGCCAGCAGCCGCGGUAAUACGUAGGGCGCAAGCGUUGUCCGGAAUUAUUGGGCGUAAAGAGCUCGUAGGCGGCUUGUCGCGUCGGUUGUGAAAGCCCGGGGCUUAACCCCGGGUCUGCAGUCGAUACGGGCAGGCUAGAGUGUGGUAGGGGAGAUCGGAAUUCCUGGUGUAGCGGUGAAAUGCGCAGAUAUCAGGAGGAACACCGGUGGCGAAGGCGGAUCUCUGGGCCAUUACUGACGCUGAGGAGCGAAAGCGUGGGGAGCGAACAGGAUUAGAUACCCUGGUAGUCCACGCCGUAAACGGUGGGCACUAGGUGUUGGCGACAUUCCACGUCGUCGGUGCCGCAGCUAACGCAUUAAGUGCCCCGCCUGGGGAGUACGGCCGCAAGGCUAAAACUCAAAGGAAUUGACGGGGGCCCGCACAAGCAGCGGAGCAUGUGGCUUAAUUCGACGCAACGCGAAGAACCUUACCAAGGCUUGACAUACGCCGGAAAACCCUGGAGACAGGGUCCCCCUUGUGGUCGGUGUACAGGUGGUGCAUGGCUGUCGUCAGCUCGUGUCGUGAGAUGUUGGGUUAAGUCCCGCAACGAGCGCAACCCUUGUUCUGUGUUGCCAGCAUGCCCUUCGGGGUGAUGGGGACUCACAGGAGACUGCCGGGGUCAACUCGGAGGAAGGUGGGGACGACGUCAAGUCAUCAUGCCCCUUAUGUCUUGGGCUGCACACGUGCUACAAUGGCAGGUACAAAGAGCUGCGAAGCCGCGAGGCGGAGCGAAUCUCAAAAAGCCUGUCUCAGUUCGGAUUGGGGUCUGCAACUCGACCCCAUGAAGUCGGAGUUGCUAGUAAUCGCAGAUCAGCAUUGCUGCGGUGAAUACGUUCCCGGGCCUUGUACACACCGCCCGUCACGUCACGAAAGUCGGUAACACCCGAAGCCGGUGGCCCAACCCCUUGUGGGAGGGAGCUGUCGAAGGUGGGACUGGCGAU
rnacentral:rRNA from 1 species